rnacentral:miRNA from 1 species
UGGAGGAUCUGCAUCGUAAAC